rnacentral:lncRNA from 1 species
GAGCCGGAGCGAGAGGCGCUUCAGAGAAGGAGGGACCGACCUGCAGGAGCCGGCCGCCCCGCCGAGCUGCAGUCGCUGCCGCCGCUGCUGUCGCUGUCAGAACCCGUCCGAAGAGUGACACCUUCGCGAAAAAACAGGAGCUGUGAAACAUUUUCACUCGCAGUCUUCGGAUCCCAGGUCCCCAUUCAUGAGCCCGAGGCUGUGAGACAUGUUCCAUGUGCCAAGGGGAGUUCUCACCAAAUCUUCUGAGGCUGUCCUAGACAUACACUCUUCGAUCUGAGUCAGCAUUACCAGCUUAUCCAAGAGAAGUCCUAUUAUAUUCAUCAACAACGUCGAAAGUAGCCUACUUUAAGAGAAAAUAUGCAGAAGAAGAAGAUCUACAUCAAGGUUACCAUGGGUAUUUUCCAAAACACCUGAUAUUACCGGAAGACAGGACUUGCAUCCUCAAACUUUCCCUGGAGAAGCUCAGGUUUCUUGAAGACCCAGAAACCUACCUAAGAAGGUCUGUGUUAAUUAACAAUUUGCUGAGGAAGAUACACCUAGAGACGGAGAAAGAGAGCUAUGAAUACUUCAAGGAAGCUCCCUGCUAUAAGACUGCUUAUUCUGAUGCAAGAAAACGGCUGAAGUUUAUGGUACAGGAGUGCUGUUCCCAGUCUCUUUACUAUGAAGAGCUGCACUCCUACCACAUUGUGCCUUACACUUCGGAGAGCGCCAUCUAUGGGAUGGGCUACACUGGUGACCACUUGGAGCAAAAUUCUCAGUUGCUCAUUUAUAAAAUGAAUUAAAAAG